ACUUCCUCUCGAGUUUAGCUUUGGGUCUGCGGGGACCCACGCGAGUUCAACAUGCAUAUCGAGAAGUGUUAUUUCUGUUCGGGGCCAAUCUACCCUGGCCACGGCAUGAUGUUCAUCCGCAACGACUGCAAGGUGUUCAGAUUUUGUAAAUCCAAAUGUCAUAAAAACUUUAAAAAGAAGCGCAAUCCUCGCAAGGUCAGGUGGACUAAAGCAUUCCGGAAAGCAGCUGGUAAACAGCUUACAGUGGAUAAUUCAUUUGAGUUUGAGAAACGUAGAAACGAACCUGUCAAAUACCAGAGAGAACUAUGGAAUAAAACUAUUGAUGCAAUGAAGAGAGUUGAAGAGAUCAAACAGAAACGCCAAGCUAAAUUUAUAAUGAACAGACUGAAGAAAAAUAAAGAGCUACAGAAAAUCCAGGACAUCAAGGAAGUCAAGCAAAACAUCCAUCUUAUCCGAGCCCCUCUUGCAGGCAAAGCAAAGAAGUUGGAAGAGAAAUGGUACAGCAAUUACAAGAGGAUGUGGACAUGGACGAUGUUUCCUAAAAAUCUUACUGUCUGUAACCAUUUCUAUGUGUACAUUUGAAAAUGUUUUUUAGAGACAGAGCUUAUAAGUUAU